GACAGUGCGCUUAAGGCCUGCAGCCCAAGUAGGAGAGCACACAUUGGGAGGCUCAACCGCCAUUUCCCUCUUGGCUCUCUAAGAGGGUGGGCAGAUCUGGAUUCUAAGCCAUUUCACAGCAAACACGCGUCUCUAACCACCAGCAUUGGCUUAAUUGGGGCUGCUUCCAAACCAGGUCCUCUCCUGCCUGCUACUUCCUAAAAAAGAAGCAAAACCACCGAGGAUUUUGCUGCAGGAUCCGAGGAAACCCCAGGCUUUGUCACUUGAGGAUGGGGUUCUCCAAAGAAACCCACGUAAGUCACUACAGACUGUUGCCAUGGGGACAGCAUACCCUCACAGGCAGCCAAAGGCAAGACUGAGGAUGGGUCAUGUGACCAGACGGCAGCCAGGUGGGUCCUGCCCAAAUGCUCCCUCAAGCCCUUUUCCACCUCUGUGAAUAUUGACAUCAUUUUUCUACUUACUGUUCCAAAGAACUUGAGGACCAGGCAUGAUUUUGAAAAGAAAGCCAUAAGGAACCAGCUCCGGGGACAGACCAUAAAAUCCAGAAACAAGGUCCUAAAGCCCCCUCCCAAAGAACAGCCCGAGGAUAACCACAAAAAUGGAGAAAUAUCUUAUCUCAGAAAGGGCCAUCUGAGCUGGACAUUCUUUUUCAUCACAUAGUUGAACAUUCAUGACAUAGGAAUGCAGACCACUGACCACCUGCGACCCCCUAGCACUCACUCACCAAUGACAUUUUAGAUUACCUAAUCCUUCUAGAGAGUUCUGCCCCCGCCCCCAUUCCCUAUAAAAGGCUUGGGGUCACCAUUUCCAAAGAAUGUUUGAGCCUCACAUGCUGGUUGCUUUUACAGAAUAAAUGCUCUUUGUCUUUGCACACUAUCUGAGUCUGGGGUCUUCCUUCAGCAAUUUUCAGACCCUACAUAUGUGUGUGCAUAAGUGUAUGAUAUGUGUGUGCUACACAUGAGUGCACAUGUGUAAGCCUGUUAGUGUAGAUGUGUGUGAUGUGUGUGUGAUAUGUGUGUUACACAUGAGUACACAUGUGUAAGCCUGUUAGUGUAGAUGUGUGUGAUGUGUGUGUGUGAUAUGUGUGUUACACAAGAGUACACGUUUGUAAGCUUGUUAGUGUAGAUGUGUGUGAUGUGUGUGCUAUGUGUGCGUACACAUGUGUGUGCCUACUAGUGCCUGUGUGGACUCAGAGGUCAAGGUCAGUAGUGCCCCAUCUCAUUGGGAGGGGACAGGGUUUCCCAGUAGAGCUCACCAAUUGCCGAGUCAGCUGGCAGGCAAGCAUUUGGGGUCUUUGUGUCUCCACCUCUUGACAUUGGAAUUUACAGGCACAUGCUGCCUCGACAGGCUUUUUACAUGGGUCCUGGGGAUUCAAGUCACAAAAUCUAAUUUUAAAACAUAUUUACUUCUAUUGGGAAACAUGGUGAAUAGAUUUUCAGUGGAGACAGCUCUGAUUAUAUAACUGGAAGAGUUCGUGACUCUGUACGGCUGACAGCAGGUUUGACUGUUCUCUGGAGUAGCUGUAAUAAACAAGAUAUCGUCCCCAAACCAUUCAAGAAAUUUCUGUUGAUGUAUGCUGUGGUUUGGAUGAGAAAUGUCCCCCAUUGGUUCCCCACUUGGUGUUUGGGUUUGUGGAGGUUAUUGGAUCUUUAGGAGGCUCGACCUUGCAGGGGAAUUAUGUCACUGGAGGCAGGUUUUGAGGGUUAACAGCAUUGCCUCUCCAUUCCAAAGUGGAUGGAACUGUGACCUGCGAGAUUCCUGCUCCUGCUGCCAUGCUUUGUCUGCCUCUGUUCAUGCCUUCCCCACCAUGGUAGACACCACCCCUUUGGAGCUGUAAGCCAAAAUAAUCCCUUUUCUUAUUUGAGUUGCUUUUACAGAGAUCGUGGUAUCUUAUCACAGCAACUAUGAAGUAACUAACAUAGUGUGCAUAGUGUGUCUCCUGAGUGCACAGGGCUACUUCCUGGUAGAAUUGCUCACCUCCUUCAGAUAGGCUACCCUACUGAAAUCUGCAUCAUGUCCCUAGUUCCUGAGCCUCAGGUUGUUUCUCCUUCCUUGCUUACUUUAAUUGUGUAGUAGUAAACGCAGCAUAAGCAAUGUAAGAAUCGAGCCUUGCUAGUUAAAUAUAAGACCCAGGGAGUGAAUGUGCACAUAAUGACCUUUCUUGGACAAAAGCAGUAGAAGCAGAAAAUCGUCAACUGAAGUGAGCAGACUAAGGAUGGCUUGUGAGGGGUCCCUGGCAGUUUGAGAGAGAGAAUCCAAAAGAUGGAGAGAGUGGAAGCAUCAAAAGAUAAAACACGCAAGAGACACAGGAGAAGAGUUCUGGGGACCACAGGAGAAAGGGCAGAAAGGACAUCUGGCGAGCACGUGAAGGAAAGACAUCGCGCUAGCACGUGGAGGAGAAGACAGCGGGAGGGGGGCGGGGGGAAGCACGCGGAGGAGAGGACAUGGGGCGAGCGCGUGGAGGAGAGGAUAUUGGACGAGCGAGGGGAGGAGAGGACAUGGGGCGAGCAGGUGGAGAAGAGGCCAUUGGGUGAGCAUGUUGAAAGAACAUCUGGCGAGCGCUUGAAAGCAAGAAAGACAAGCGUAGGGCAGAAGGAGCGAGCAUGAGCGAGCAGUGCGCCAAGAGAAUGAGAAGGAUGGAGAGCUGUUCCUAGCAAAACCAGGGGAAGGGGGGACCUAAUAAGAAGCAAUUAGAAGGAAAGUGAAAAGACUUAUUCUAGGAGUUUGGUGUUAAAAAGCAAAUGAAGUGGAAAUUUUGUAAGUGUUAAACUCUACCCAAAAACAGUAUGAGGGGAAAUUUUCACACAGUAUAACUUAAAACAAGUAAAAAAAAAAAAAGUAUAACAAAUUUGUGUUUGGAUGAUAGAGCAUACAAGAUCAUAAUUAAAACACUUUACCAACGCUAAUUAAGGUAGGUAGGUCAAUGUUAUUGGCCUGUUUUUUGGUUUUUGUUUUGUUUUGUUUUGUUUUGUUUUAAGUAAAAACAGCCGUUGGAGUGGGAGAGCUCAGAGGCCUCAGCAGGCUCACCCAAGUGUGAACGUCAGGAAAGAACCGGGUAGUUGGACUGCUCAGAGACAGCUCCAGGGAAGAGGAAGCGCCUAAGAAAAUCUCCCGGGCACAAAGGGGAAAUACAAAUGAGCAAAAGACAGAUAAGGAACAUAAAAUGUAUUGUUUUUCUGAGAAACAUUCAAGGCUUUCAACGCACCAUCAUGUUCAGCUAGCUGCAUCCUAGAAGGGCCAGCGGGCAACUCCACUAAAGAAAGAGAACUCUAGAGUGAACCUCAAACUCAUGCUGGUUCCUGACUUAGACCCAGGGCCAGAGACAUUCAGAGACCCCAAAGGAGACCUUAGAAGUCCAGGAAUCCUGUGCUAGCUCAAGUAGAUGGCACAUCUCGGUGGCCUCUUCCUGACUUCCAUGCUUCCAAGCAUGAUGCGUCUUUAUAUGUAGGUAGGACUUCCAACAAUGCCACUAAAGCUUUGGACACUGGAGUCUCCUGGAUGCCCCCACGUUCUUGUGUCACAGCCAUUAACUCUGGAUUACAAAGAUCUAGACUAUAACCCCCUGGAGAUCAGAGCAGCCUUCCUUACUCCUUGAAUACAACCCCCAUCAAGAGGCCCAUUCUGGAAUAAUUGGCAAAUAAAUUUGGUGAUGGAAUAGAUACAUAAGUAAAUAUAUCUUUAUAAAUUAUAAAUUAUAAUUAUAUAUACACAUACAUAUCACAUAUACAUGGGCACAGACCCCUUGAGGGUUUGUGACAACCCUUAGGACACCUAGCUACAGUUUGAAAUAUCCACCACUAGAUGGCACUAUUUUAAUGAUACAGUAAAGCCUUUUAUCUGAUGCGGCCGCUGUCACAGGCGAGGUUGAUGCAAAAUGUACAUUCCAAAAGUCAAAUGUUCCUAUCCUGCUGCUGCUUACCAUCUAUAACGCUUAAUGUGAUCCUCGUCAGAGGGGAACGACUUCCAAUCAGUUCUCAAGUCUCCAACCUCACUGGUACUGCUGCCCAAAGCGCCAUUGGAAUGUUGGGUGUUUUCAAUAACCUGUGUCAUUUGUUAGAUUUGUUAUCGUUACAGUUGUUUUCAGUCUCAUAUUGAAGGACUUCAAUGACACCCCUGCGGACAGCCCUAGACACGACUGCAUAAGCGGACACCUGCUGGAGUGUUGGUGAAGGUCUGGGUUUGCCUCCUGGGCCAUGGACACGCCUGCUGAUGAUACUGAGGCUUCAUGGUGGCAAUGUUACAUUAGUGAGCAUGAGCAGUCUUCCAGGACAUAGAACCGAAAACAGGUUCCUGAGACAGAUGAGGAGUGGGAAGGUGGCUGAAAGUCAAGGAGCCGACGCCUCCGGGGACCCCCUAACCCAUUCGUCAGGGCAGAAAAGCUCCUCUAUUCAAGUGUUAGAAACCCAUUCUCCUAGUAAAAAGACAAAAAUAAUCAAUUGCUAGUGAUCUCUCAUGCCUCCCUCCCUCCUCUCUCAAUAGACAAAGAUAAUAGACAAGGGGCAAGUGAUAGAGGUGAUAGGUCAUUGUAGCACAGCACACGUCUGCUUAUUUAUGUUUCGUACUCUUCUAAGUGGGAUUGAUUCUGCGAAAUAACUUUUCAUUUUGACAUCACAAGGGCAACUGAGCUCUAGGUUCUUGAAGUAGCCACCCCCCCAGCCCCACCCACAGUGCUGCCCACAGUCACGGCCCCGCCCACAGCCCCAGUAUGGCCCCGCCCACAACCCAGCCCCAGUUUGGCUCCACCCACUGCUCUGCCCAGACCCUGCCCACAGACCCCACCACCAGCUCCAUCCAGCACACCCUCCAGUUCAAGUGCUUGCUUGUGUGCUUGUGGCCGCCUGCCUGCCUGCCUGCCAUGGCCCUGAGCCUGUCUCUCCCAGCAUCCGUUCUGUCCUCCUACUCCCAGCUGCUCACAUGGCCGCUGGUGCAUCUGAGAACACAGUGAGGAACACGUGCUCUGGGGAGUGAACACUGUGACUGUGUCUUUUGAACCCUCUCACAGCACAGCUCAGAGUAAGUGUACAUGAAGACACAGGAGGACAUGUGAGGACACAGGAGGACACAUGAGUUCACAUGAGGACAUGAAUGAUGGCGGGAGAUCAAUGUGCCGCCCCUUCCAGGCUGCAUUUGCAUUUUAAUAGAAGACGUCAGGGCCUCUGCCUCCUGGGUGAUCCAUGCUGGAACCUCAGCCCUCCUGACGACUCUGGGAGGCCUCUUUCCUACUGUAGGAUGGCGGCACACAGGCAAGGCAAGCCCAGAAACCGCUGAGGCCAUUUGUGCAUGCACAUGCUUAGGGUAGACCCUGUGCUCACACACUGACUCUGUGACAGUGUAGACCCUGUGCUCACACACUGACUCUGGCAGUGUAGACCCUGUGCUCACACACUGACUCUGUGGCAGUGUAGACCCUGUGCUCACACACUGACUCUGUGGCAGUGUAGACCCUGUGCUCACACACUGACUCUGUGACAGUGUAAAUUAACUGUGUGCUGAGCACAGACGCUCCCUCCUCCUUCUACCCCAUCACAAUCCUGGAAGUGAAGACUUAGAAUGUCUCAGAAGGAGGAGUGUGAUGUCACCAAGCUGUUGGAAAGAAUAUUCUAGAGGAAAUACCAGAGGCAGAACAUGAGGUAAAAUGCCGUGGGAAUCACAGGGAGCUAUCAGAGUAAGACACUUCGAGAGAAUAUGGACCCAGGUAUAGAGGUGUGUGUGUGUGUGUGUGUGUGUGCACGCGCGUGCGUGGAUGUGCAUCAUGUGUGUGGUGGGGCUGUUUCACCAGGUCAAGACCAAGGAGCUGACCCUGUCCCACAGGUGCUGAGGGACCAGUACCAUCAUGGCAGCAGAGUAGAGUCGGGCUAGAGAUGUCAUGGAAUAACUCUGAUGACCAGUCUCCAACUUCUUGGUUUGCCACUUGCCUACAAUGACCUUUCACCUCCUUCAUAGCAAAGUCCUUUGCUGUCAUUGUUCUUAUGUUGUGCAUCUGAGGAGGUCAAAGUCAACCUCAGGCAUUGUUCCACAAGGUGUCAUUCACCUUGACUUUAUUUUGUUUUUAGGUUUAGGGUCUCUUCCUCAAUCCAAUAGGGUGGCAUGGCUGACCAGACGGCCCCAGGGAUUUUCCUGACUCCACAGGGUCAGUGCUAAGAUUGCAAAUGGCGACCACCAUGCUGAGGUUUUUGUUUUUGUUUUUAAAAUCUGGGUUCCGGGACCUGAAUGCAGGUCCUUGUGGUUGAGUGACAAACACUUUAUCACUGAGCUAUCCCCUCAGCCUCCUUCAAGACAAAAUUUAGAUGACAAUCAAGGUCAGCUCAUGAUCCAUCACUGAGGGAAGUUCUUGUCAGCCUCUCAUAACCCAGCCGAUCUUUAUCUAAAGCCCUGAGCAAGUCCAGUCUUCUCAACUGUGGUUCACACAGCUCCUGCUGGAAACAGCCUUCCAGACCUCCAGAGGCAAGAGCACCCAGAACUGCCAGGUGUCUGAUAUGUCACAAUGAAUGGAAACAGGAAACAUUCCGUCCUGCAGGAAGCUCCUUAGGAUUAGGGAGGCAUUCACAGAGGCCUCAGAGGGGAAAGCCACGGAGCGCACAGGAACCAACUGCUCAUCUUUGCCUGCAUGCCACAUGUUCAGCAAACAAACCCUUGCUCGGAAAUCCCCGGUUUCUCCAGAAUGCAAGCAUUCCCAGGGAAAUUGAGGUGUAAAUUGGUUACCUGGCAUGUUGUUUUGAACUUGACUCCACAUAAAGAGAUGUUUAUUUCCAGACUGUCUCUAGCUCCGAAGAAGGAAGUGAAGACACAUUUAAGGCCUCCAGCAUUUACCCCCUUGUGCCCCAAUCCUCUAUCUCCGGAAAUCAGGAACAGGGAGGGUUUUGCAAACAAGUUACAGGGCCGUUCAUUCUUGCAGAGAACCGUGCAGCAAGUAGCACCUAAGGUAUUCUAAGCUCUGCUUUAUAGAUGUCAUGUAUUCUGGCUGUUUUUGUGUGUCAACUUGACACAAGCUGGAGUUAUCACAGAGAAAGGAGCCUCCUUUGAGGAAAUGCCUACAUGAGAUCCAGCUGUAAGGCAUUUUCUCAAUUAGUGAUCAAGGUUGGGAGGGCCCAUUUUGGGUGGUGCCAUCCCUGGGCUGGUAGUCCUAGCUUCUAUAAGAAAGCAAGCUGAGCAAGCCAGGGGAAGCAAGCCAGUAAGGAACAUC
rnacentral:lncRNA from 1 species